rnacentral:lncRNA from 1 species
GCUUGAACACUUGGCAUCCACGGAGCAAUCAGUCGUUGUAGUACGCAGGUGCUGUUUCAAGGCAUGUUAUGCAACCUGAGACGUACCUCUCCAACACUUACUACCAUUGCCACACCUCAUUAUAUGAAGCGGUCCACCCACUAUGCAUCUUUUUCAAUGCCUUCUACUUAGCUAUCCAAGCCUUGCGGUAAGAGGGUGUGUACCUCAAUUAGCUACGAAUAUUGGCAAUUAAG